AGAAACUUAGGUUACACCAAACCAAGAGCCUUCAAAGCUCCAAAACAGAAGUUUUUUCCUAGUUUCUG
rnacentral:tRNA from 1 species